CAUGAUCUAGCUUGCUAGAUUGAUGGCGAGUGGCGAACGGGUGAGUAAUACAUCGGAACGUGCCCUGUAGUGGGGGAUAACUAGUCGAAAGAUUAGCUAAUACCGCAUACGACCUGAGGGUGAAAGUGGGGGACCGCAAGGCCUCAUGCUAUAGGAGCGGCCGAUGUCUGAUUAGCUAGUUGGUGAGGUAAAGGCUCACCAAGGCGACGAUCAGUAGCUGGUCUGAGAGGACGAUCAGCCACACUGGGACUGAGACACGGCCCAGACUCCUACGGGAGGCAGCAGUGGGGAAUUUUGGACAAUGGGCGAAAGCCUGAUCCAGCAAUGCCGCGUGUGUGAAGAAGGCCUUCGGGUUGUAAAGCACUUUUGUCCGGAAAGAAAUGGCUCUGGUUAAUACCUGGGGUCGAUGACGGUACCGGAAGAAUAAGGACCGGCUAACUACGUGCCAGCAGCCGCGGUAAUACGUAGGGUCCAAGCGUUAAUCGGAAUUACUGGGCGUAAAGCGUGCGCAGGCGGUUGUGCAAGACCGAUGUGAAAUCCCCGAGCUUAACUUGGGAAUUGCAUUGGUGACUGCACGGCUAGAGUGUGUCAGAGGGGGGUAGAAUUCCACGUGUAGCAGUGAAAUGCGUAGAGAUGUGGAGGAAUACCGAUGGCGAAGGCAGCCCCCUGGGAUAACACUGACGCUCAUGCACGAAAGCGUG
rnacentral:rRNA from 1 species